UGGAUCCAGACUUUGAUCAUGGCUCAGGAUGAACGCUAGCUACAGGCUUAACACAUGCAAGUCGAGGGGCAGCAUGUCGGUUGCUUGCAACCGACGAUGGCGACCGGCGCACGGGUGAGUAACGCGUAUCCAACCUACCCUUGUCCAUCGGAUAACCCGUCGAAAGGCGGCCUAACACGAUAUGCGGUUCACAGCAGGCAUCUAACGUGAACGAAAUGUGAAGGAGAAGGAUGGGGAUGCGUCUGAUUAGCUUGUUGGCGGGGUAACGGCCCACCAAGGCGACGAUCAGUAGGGGUUCUGAGAGGAAGGUCCCCCACAUUGGAACUGAGACACGGUCCAAACUCCUACGGGAGGCAGCAGUGAGGAAUAUUGGUCAAUGGACGAGAGUCUGAACCAGCCAAGUAGCGUGCAGGAUGACGGCCCUAUGGGUUGUAAACUGCUUUUAUAGGGGGAUAAAGUGUGCCACGUGUGGCAUAUUGCAGGUACCCUAUGAAUAAGGACCGGCUAAUUCCGUGCCAGCAGCCGCGGUAAUACGGAAGGUCCGGGCGUUAUCCGGAUUUAUUGGGUUUAAAGGGAGCGUAGGCCGUCUUAUAAGCGUGUUGUGAAAUGUCGGGGCUCAACCUGGGCAUUGCAGCGCGAACUGUGAGACUUGAGUGCGCAGGAAGUAGGCGGAAUUCGUCGUGUAGCGGUGAAAAUGCUUAGAUAUGACGAAGAACUCCGAUUGCGAAGGCAGCCUGCUGUAGCGCGACUGACGCUGAAAGCUCGAAAGCGUGGGUAUCGAACGAGGAUUAG
rnacentral:rRNA from 1 species